AGUAAAAUACUCUAUAAAACAUACUGCUGAUAUAAUAUGCUGAUGAGACGAAAAAUGUUAUGGUGACGUUCAGGACAUGAGUCCCAGGGAUUUAGCCAAAUUUACCUCUGCACACAUACAUCGAAUUCGUUAGGCAUUGAUAUAACUUGGUGCUCAUCAAAAUGAGUUCCCAUCAGGAAAGCAAUGUAGUGAAAAAACUGCCAGAGGAGCCACGCUACCAACAAUACAAUCAACUUCAAUCCAAUAAUUCUAUCAUACCAGCAGAGAUGUCUCAAGCUGGUUUACAGCAAAACAGAAAUAACGAAUUGUUUUAUAAUUCAACUAGCCAUGACUCGUUGGCCAGCAAUAUCCAGGGAUCUUGUUCACUUGAUUAUGCGAAUCGUAAUUUCGGUUGUAACGGAGAUAGAAAUGUAGAUCAGAACUCGCUAGCUCACAAUUAUUCAUAUACUGCACAAACUAAUCAGCCACAGCCGUAUCAACACACACGUUUAGAUGAAUAUCAGUCCCCUCUGCCCAGUUCACAGCAGCCGCACUUAGAUCAAUUCAGCCAAAAUCGGCUAGUUCAGGCCCAGCCGAAUCAAUAUCAACCACAUCCGGCUAACUCCGAGAGACCACAACCUGAUUUAGACCGAAUUAAUCGAUUGUCUGUACAAUUCAAUACGCCAAAAACACAAUUAGUCCAACCUAAUCAGUCACAGCCACAGCCUUAUGCAGCGCAGCAGUCUGACCAGCAAUCUUGGCCGAUGCGACAAUUCAACCAGUCUCAAGCGUAUCUGACACAGCCUGCAUACAAUCAGUCAGCAGGAUCCUAUCCGCCAGCACAAUCAUCUGAUCAAUCGCAGCGUUAUGCUCAAAUGCAACCACCUUAUCAGCCAACUUCUGGUGCAAAUCCGCAACUCUAUAAUCAAUCUCAUGUACAGCCACCACAAUCCGCUGGUCAACCUCAACCAUAUUUACAGAUAAAACAGCCUAGUCAACCAAAAACUUCACAACAUUAUUUGACAAACCAGUUCAAUCAGUCGCCCUCCAAUUCAGCUCAGCAGUAUAGCUACCAACAACCGCAACGUUAUACACAGACACCUAAUCAACCGCAACCCUACUUGCCACAGCCAUCUGGUCAGCCACAGCUUUAUUCUCAGCAAACGCGACCAUCUGGUCAACCACAGCCCUAUUAUUUUCAGCAGCCGCAGCCAUCUGAUCAACCGCAACCUUAUUCUCAGCAAACACAAUCACCUAACCGAGUAUACCAGCAGCCUUAUUCAACGCAACUACCUUCCUAUCCGCAAACACAACAACAGCCGCAGCACUAUGCACAAAAUCCACCUAAUCGACUACAUGCACAAGGUAGGCUGUCCGAUCCGCCACAGCCUUAUGUACAACAACAAGCGCAGUCUUCUAACCAGCAACUCUUUAAUCAGCUACAACCUCACUCAUCAACUCAGCCACCUGGUCGAUCACAGCCUUACUUACCGCCCGGCCAACCUCAAUCUUAUACACCGUCGCUCAGUCAUCCGCAACCCUGUCCGCCGCAGCAGCCUAAUGAGUCGCAACCCUAUACACAACUGCCGUCUAAUCCAUCACAGUCGCAUGCACAAACACAACUGCCUGGCCAAAUGCAGUCCUACGCACAAAAACCAUCUGACGAACUAAAAAAAUACGAGUCGUCGCAGUUUGGGCCGCCGAGAUCAGAUUUUCCCGUCAGCUCAUCGCAGUUCUACUCUGCUCAGUCCGGCGUGGCCGAUCAGUGCCAGACGCGACCCGGCGAGCAAAAACCUUAUCUGGUAGAACAAAAUUCUGAAAGUCAGAAAAUCUCGAGCGAGUCGCAGCAGCCUCUCUCGCAAAAAGAUUGUUUUUCUGACGAGUUGAGGCACUUGAAGUUGUCGGAUGCAAGGAAUGCAGCGGAGGUCAAACCUGGCGACAAUAGGUUUCAACCCAAUCAAAUAGGCGGGCCUUCUGCUGAGAAGGCGCGUCAGCUACAGCCAGAAGGAUUGAACGACAGAAUCGCACAGAGUGAACUCAAGGGUGACAACAGGGGUGCUUUGCCACGAGGGCUGGGAGAGCAGCUGGAAAGCACGAGGCAGAGCGAAUUGCGCAGCCAAUUCGCGGACACUAGUCAGCGAGAAAAAACGCGUAGAGACCCGCGCGAGCCAGUCGCUCUGCCUGAUCACACACAGCCAAAGCAGAGCAUGCAUUCGGAGUUGGAUUACUCCAAUAAGGUCGAAGAUCAGAGCUAUUUGUCACCUUUGAAGGGCAGGAGGAACUGGCCUACAGAGGGCGAGAAAGAUACGCUGAGGCGUCUCUUAGGAGAAGGCGGCAACAUCAUUCACUCCUAUUCUGCAGAAGAAGUCAGCAUUUUUACAAGGUACAUUAACUUUUUACUGAAAGAUGACAGAAGCUUGGAGGUUUUGCCGAUCAAGCCGAAUUGCGAGGAUCUGCUGAGCGUAACAGCAGACGGGGUUUUGAUUUGCAAGUUGAUCAAUCGAGUAAAGCCCGGAAUAAUCAACGACAAAUACAUCACGCUGAAUCCUACAUCAGACAUUCAGCGAAUUGAAAAUCACAAGUUGGCAAUUGCAGGGUCGAGCGCAAUUGGCUGCAAGGUUGUCAACAUUGGUCCUUACGACAUAUUGGAGAAAAGGGCCUAUUUGACGAUAGCUUUCAUCUGGCAGAUCAUUAGAACGUACUUGUUCUCGAAGGUGAGUUCAAAUAGCCGUAACCACCCAGAGUUGGUGGCAUCGGCGGAAAUGGGUGGAGACUCGAAGGGUGUCCUGAAUAAAAAACCAGAAGACAUGUUAAUAAUGUGGUUUAACUCGCGUCUAAAAAUGGCAAGACACAACAGACAGGUUGCCAACUUGGGUUCGGACAUCGCAGACGGCGAAUGCUAUUUGGUCCUGCUUUCUCAGAUUGCGCCUCACGUGGUGCCCAGGGGUGUGCAUUUGCAGGUGCGCGAUGCAGGGAAGAGGGCAAAGAUGGUAUGCGACUACAUAGACCGGAUUUGUGGUUUUAGGCCGCUAGAGCCGUCAGACGUGCUGCGUGGUAACGAGGAGUUGAAUACGGCCGCCUGCGCUGCGCUGUUCGACUGUAGCUUGUCGAUGGACGUGGAGACAAAGACAGGUGAUGCCCGCGCGCAAGAAGAGGAUCGGCUGUCCAGCGAGGCCAAGCGUGAACAAGAAGAGGCCGAGCGCCGCUUGAAGUGGGCAGAGGAGGAGAAGAGACGUCUCUUGGAGCUGAAAUACAAAGAGCAUUCGGUGAAGGAGAAUUUGAAAAGAUUAGAAGAGGAAACGCUCCAUCAACUGGAAGAAGAGAAAAAUAGGAAGAUGCGUGAGCUUGCCAUGCAAGAGGAGCAAUUGAAAUUGCGCCAGGCGGAAUCCGACAAACGCAUGAGAGAGGAGCAAAUGAAGCUGAACCAAAUGUUAAACCAAGUCAAGCAGUUUGAGGCGAAUUUACAAUAUCAGCGAGAUGCAGAAAAAGAAAGACUAUCUCGUAUUGAGAACGACCUUCAUCGCCAGGAUGAGCUGCGUCGGAUGCAACAAGAACAAGAGAGAGCUCGACUAGAGCAAGCCAGACGAGAUCAUCAACAAAGGCAGAUGGAAUUGAAUAGAUACAUACAUACGAUAGUACCUGUCGAUUAUGGCGUAGAGUCGAAUCGUGAUCGGGAACACCAUUAUGAAAUCCCUAAAGUCAACACGACAGCAGAAAAAAAUAAGGUCCCGUCACUUGCAAGCGGUAUUUCUUGGCCGAUUGGCCGUCUUCAAAUUUGCAUUGUCGAAGCUAGGCGUUUGGCUAAGCUUUCUGCUCUAGACCCAGAUCCUUAUGUGUGCGUGACAUUUGGAGACAUGCGCAUUAAAACCCCUAUUGCCAGAGGUACUUUGGACCCUGCGUGGAAUUUUACUUUCGACCUGCGUCAAGUCAACUAUCACCACGAAAUUGUUUUUCAGGUUCUAGAUUACAGACUCAUGGUAAAAGACGCGUUUUUGGGCCAAGUAAAGCUGACAGGCUCCGACAUUUCGAAGUUCAGUGAAAGGUGGUAUCAGUUGCAAAGUCGGCAAUAUAAACUCACUAAAGUUCAGGGGGAACUUUUUAUCAGGCUGUCUAUCGUUACCUAGUUUUUUUUCCAAUGUGGAAAUUUUUCGCCGCGGCGACAACGAGAAGUCUAGCCCUACCCAAGUUCCAGCGACGGCCCGUCCAGGCCGCAACCGCCCAAAGAAGCCCUCACACAGCAGCCAGGUAAUUUAUAGAAAAGCACGCGACCAUUCAGCACGAUUCGAUGCUACCUGAAAGCGGUUUAUAGGACGAUCCAAUGCGUGUGCUCUCUAUUUAUGCGUGUCUUCAGGAUGGCAUUCAAGGAAUGAAACUGUUGCCGCCCCACCUUUUCUCGCUAGGUAUGACGAGUUUGCCGACGGGUUUCGUUCGACAACAGCAAGGAAAGGUUUGAAGCAGCAAGUUACAAUUUUGGACGAGAGGCAUUAACUGACAUUUGCAUGAGCGCGAACAGUCUCUUAAAAAAGUCUCAGAAAAAAAGUUCUCGAGGUCUGAUUUUUGACCUUCUCGAAAAGAACGUCAUCUACUUUUUAGACAUGGAUUUGACAAGAAUCAUGGUCGUUUUUUCGAUCUUCUUCAAAUCCGACUUUUGAUCUGUUUUGUACUUGAUAACCUCAAUACAAACCGUUCAGUCUUUAUCGCUUUUCGAGCAUUUUCUGGUCACUCCGGUUUUGACAUUCUCUUCGACGUACUUUUUUGUUAUCGGUGGCCUUGAGCACGAUGAGCCCUUUGGAAUGGUUGUACUUGAACAAAUACCGCGUCUGAAGAGUUGGCGUGGGUGUAUUGUUAGUGCUAUCUGCGUAUUUGCGAGCGAUGAAGCGAGCCCUCUUUUUUGCGUUGAUACAUUUUUUGCGUCAGAAAUAAGCAUUUCCUCCACGGCGUUGGUGAAAUCGCCCAUGUCCUUCAUGUACAUGGCGUGAUAAGGAGAUUCAAUCUCGAUUUAUUUAUGGUAAGAGUCGGGCGCUCGUCGAUAGAGAAAUAAAACCAGCUACAAUGUGCUUCAAAAAA